rnacentral:rRNA from 1 species
UACGGGGGGAGCAAGCGUUGUUCGGAUUUACUGGGCGUAAAGGGCGCGUAGGCGGCGCAACAAGUCACUUGUGAAAUCUCCGGGCUUAACCCGGAGCGGCCAAGUGAUACUGUCGUGCUAGAGUGCAGAAGGGGCAACUGGAAUUCUCGGUGUAGCGGUGAAAUGCGUAGAUAUCGAGAGGAACACCUACGGCGAAGGCGGGUUGCUGGGCUGACACUGACGCUGAUGCGCGAAAGCUAGGGGAGCGAACGGG